rnacentral:lncRNA from 11 species
GGCUAUCCCAAAGUAUCUAAGGAAUGCAGUGCCACCUCUUUACACAGUUAUUUUUUGAUUCCACCCCCCUCUCCCAACUCAACCAAAUCUACUCACUGUUGUAGCUGCUACCGCCAUUCGUCUCUGUUGAUACCAGGCUUUGUUGACUUGGCCCUUCGGAAGUGGCCCUUCCUGACAGGAUGGGAAAUCUUGAAGGAGUUCAACUUUCAUCAGACUUGGCCACACAGACAGUGAUCAGCAAUAAUGGAAGCUGUGGUGCACAAAGUCCAUAGGUUGUCAAGCCUGGGUUACAGAAAACUAAAGAGCCAAUAAAAUAUUUGUAAUGACCUUGAUUCAAAC